rnacentral:rRNA from 1 species
UACGGAGGGUGCAAGCGUUGUCCGGAAUCACUGGGCGUAAAGGGCGCGUAGGUGGCCCGUUAAGUGGCUGGUGAAAUCCCGCGGCUCAACUGCGGGGCUGCCGGUCAGACUGGCGAGCUAGAGCACGGUAGGGGCAGAUGGAAUUCCCGGUGUAGCGGUGGAAUGCGUAGAGAUCGGGAAGAAUACCAGUGGCGAAGGCGUUCUGCUGGGCCGUUGCUGACACUGAGGCGCGACAGCGUGGGGAGCAAACAGG